rnacentral:snRNA from 1 species
GUGCUUGCUUUGGCAGCACACAUACUAAAAUUGGAGCGACACAGAGAUUAGCUAUGGCCCUUGUGCAUGGAUGACACGCAAAUUCGUGAAGCGUUCCAUAUUUUU